rnacentral:rRNA from 1 species
GACAGAGGAUGCAAGCGUUAUCCGGAAUGAUUGGGCGUAAAGCGUCUGUAGGUGGCUUUUCAAGUCCGCCGUCAAAUCCCAGGGCUCAACCCUAGACAGGUGGCGGAAACUACCAAGCUAGAGUACGGUAGGGGCAGAGGGAAUUUCCGGUGGAGCGGUGAAAUGCAUUGAGAUCGGAAAGAACACCAACGGCGAAAGCACUCUGCUGGGCCGACACUGACACUGAGAGACGAAAGCUAGGGGAGCAAAUGGG